rnacentral:rRNA from 1 species
UACGUAGGGUGCAAGCGUUGUCCGGAAUUAUUGGGCGUAAAGAGCUCGUAGGCGGUUUGUCGCGUCUGCUGUGAAAACUCGGGGCUUAACUCCGGGCUUGCAGUGGGUACGGGCAGACUAGAGGUAGGCAGGGGAGAGCGGAACUCCUGGUGUAGCGGUGGAAUGCGCAGAUAUCAGGAAGAACACCGGUGGCGAAGGCGGCUCUCUGGGCCUUACCUGACGCUGAGGAGCGAAAGCGUGGGUAGCGAACAGG